UACGUAGGUGGCAAGCGUUGUCCGGAUUUACUGGGCGUAAAGAGCGCGCAGGCGGCCAAGUCAGUCGAAUGUGAAAGCCCCCGGCUUAACUGGGGAGGGUCAUUCGAUACUGCUCGGCUCGAAGACAGGAGAGGGAAGUGGAAUUCCCGGUGUAGUGGUGAAAUGCGUAGAUAUCGGGAGGAACACCAGUGGCGAAGGCGGCUUUCUGGCCUGUUCUUGACGCUGAGGCGCGAAAGCUAGGGGAGCAAACGGG
rnacentral:rRNA from 1 species